rnacentral:rRNA from 1 species
UACGGAGGGGGCUAGCGUUGUUCGGAAUUACUGGGCGUAAAGCGCGCGUAGGCGGCUUUGUAAGUUAGAGGUGAAAGCCCGGAGCUCAACUCCGGAACUGCUUUUAAGACUGCAUCGCUAGAAUCAUGGAGAGGUGAGUGGAAUUCCGAGUGUAGAGGUGAAAUUCGUAGAUAUUCGGAAGAACACCAGUGGCGAAGGCGACUCACUGGACAUGUAUUGACGCUGAGGUGCGAAAGCGUGGGGAGCAAACAGG